ACGCUCGACACCUACGGAAGGCAGCAGUGGGGAAUAUUGGGCAAUGGGCGCAAGCCUGACCCAGCAACGCCGCGUGAAGGAAGAAGGCUUUCGGGUUGUAAACUUCUUUUAUUAAGGACGAAGCAAUGACGGUACUUAAUGAAUAAGCUCCGGCUAACUACGUGCCAGCAGCCGCGGUAAUCUGAGCGGGCUGGCAAGGC
rnacentral:rRNA from 1 species